UGGGGCAGCCCAACCUUUAGAAACGUGUUAGGAUUGCGCUGCAGUCGCUUCUCCCUCGCAGCUUUAGGAAAACCAGGCGAAGGGCAAGUAGAUUCACACAGAUCAUGUCUUUACAUUUGGAUGUGUACCCUAAAUUUUUAUCAGGACAGUUGAUGACCCCAGAUGGGACCUGAGUGAGGGCCUCCAACCCUGCAACUUUCUCUCAGAAGAACUUUUAGAGGACUGUCCCGGAAACUGGACUCCCCUUUAGGCCUCAAGCUUAUUUUCUCUGAGCAAAGGUAUAAGUGCCUGAUACGUCUUCUCGUAAGGCCACUAGUCCAUCAUUCAAAGGAAAUGCCAUGUAUUCCUGCAGUCUGAGGACUGUGGGUGUCUGUCUCUGGGAAAGUCAAAAGAACAACCUUGAGAAGGUAAAGGCAACGACUUGGACUCUUGCCCCAGAUGGGAAUGAGGGGGUCUUAUGACCCUGGAGUCAUAAGAUAUUCUACCUGGUCAAAAGUCAAGAGUUGUUUAACACUGGACUUUCCAAAGAAUGUUGAUUAACUCUGUUGUCAUGAGUCUUGGAAAUCUCCUCUUAUAAAUCAGGUUAAAUGUAAGUCCAUCUGUACCUUUACCAACUGUAUCAAAGACUGCUCUGUCUGCUGUAAUGCAUCCCUGGCCAUUGAGGGGCUCAGGAUAUCAAGUUAUUGGCAACUACUAGCCUUGCUAAAUAAAUUGAUGAUGCUUGAAGACUUUGUGCCUCAGUUUCUCUUCAUUACAGAUUUUUAUCAGGACAGACCUGUGCUUUUGAAAGAUUAGUUUGACAGCCAAAUGGAGGAUGGACUGAAGUAAGAAGAGACUUUUGGCAGGGACACCAACCAGCAGGCUAUUGCAAACAGGCCAGGCAGGAAGUAAUGAAGAGGACUUUCCCCAAGGUGGUUGCCAAAGAGA